GGGCGAGUGGCGAAAUUGGUAGACGCACUACCUUGAGGUGGUAGCGGUCGCAAGGCCUUAAGAGUUCGAGUCUCUUCUCGCCCACCA
rnacentral:tRNA from 1 species